UGACCUCGGAUCAGGUAGGGAUAACCGCUGAACUUAAGCCAU
rnacentral:rRNA from 1 species